rnacentral:rRNA from 1 species
AGUGAACGCUGGCGGUAGGCCUAACACAUGCAAGUCGAACGGCAGCACAGUAAGAGCUUGCUCUUACGGGUGGCGAGUGGCGGACGGGUGAGGAAUACAUCGGAAUCUACUUUUUCGUGGGGGAUAACGUAGGGAAACUUACGCUAAUACCGCAUACGACCUACGGGUGAAAGCAGGAGAUCUUCGGACCUUGCGCGAUUGAAUGAGCCGAUGUCGGAUUAGCUAGUUGGCGGGGUAAAGGCCCACCAAGGCGACGAUCCGUAGCUGGUCUGAGAGGACGAUCAGCCACACUGGAACUGAGACACGGCCCAGACUCCUACGGGAGGCAGCAGUGGGGAAUAUUGGACAAUGGGCGCAAGCCUGAUCCAGCCAUACCGCGUGGGUGAAGAAGGCCUUCGGGUUGUAAAGCGCUUUUGUUGGGAAAGAAAAGCAGCAGGUUAAUACCCCGCUGUUCUGACGGUACCCAAAGAAUAAGCACCGGCUAACUUCGUG